rnacentral:rRNA from 1 species
CCUACGGGUGGCAGCAGUGGGGAAUAUUGCACAAUGGGCGCAAGCCUGAUGCAGCCAUGCCGCGUGUGUGAAGAAGGCCUUCGGGUUGUAAAGCACUUUCAGCGGGGAGGAAGGCGUUAAGGUUAAUAACCUUGGCGAUUGACGUUACCCGCAGAAGAAGCACCGGCUAACUCCGUGCCAGCAGCCGCGGUAAUACGGAGGGUGCAAGCGUUAAUCGGAAUUACUGGGCGUAAAGCGCACGCAGGCGGUCUGUCAAGUCGGAUGUGAAAUCCCCGGGCCCAACCUGGGAACUGCAUUCGAAACUGGCAGCCUAGAGUCUUGUAGAGGGGGGUAGAAUUCCAGGUGUAGCGGUGAAAUGCGUAGAGAUCUGGAGGAAUACCGGUGGCGAAGGCGGCCCCCUGGACAAAGACUGACGCUCAGGUGCGAAAGCGUGGGGAGCAAACAGGAUUAGAUACCCUUGUAGUC